rnacentral:siRNA from 1 species
UAAACCUACUCAUUCCGUUUC